ensembl:lncRNA
GCUGAAGGUAUAUACAGCUGUGACCCCCCCCCUCUGAGGGUAUAUAGAGCUUCUGACCCCCUAUGUGUGUGUUUGUGAUUAUGUGUGUGAGAGAGAGAGAGAGACGUCUUUGCGUGUAUGUGUGUUUGUGAUUAUGUGUGUGAGAGAGAGAGAGACACGUCUUUGCAUGUAUGUGUGUUUGUGAUAAUGUGUGUGUGAGAGAGAGAGAGACGUCUUUGCGUGUGUGUGUGUUUGUGAUUAUGUGUGUGUGUGAGAGAGACGUCUUUGUGUGUAUGUGUGUUUGUGAUUAUGUGUGUGAGAGCGAGAGAGAGAUGUCUUUGCGUGUGUGUGUGUUUUGUGAUUAUGUGUGUUUGAGAGUGAGAGAGACGUCUUUGCGUGUGUGUGUGUUUGUGAUUGUGUGUGUGUGAGAGAGAGAGAGAGACGUCUUUGCGUGUGUGUGUGUUUGUGAUUAUGUGUGUGAGAGUGAGAGAGAGACGUCUUUGCGUGUAUGUGUGUGUUUGUGAUUAUGUGUGUGUGAGGGAGAGAGAAAGAUAUCUUUGCGUGUAUGUGUGUUUGUGAUUGUGUGUGUGUGAGAGAGAGAGAGACGUCUUUGCGUGUAUGUGUGUUUGUGAUUAUGUGUGUGUGACAGAGACGUCUUUGUGUGUGUGUGUGUUUGUGAUUAUGUGUGUGUGAGAGAGAGAGAUGUCUUUGCGUGUAUGUGUGUGUAUGUGUGUUUGUGAUUAGGUGUGUGUGAGAGAGAGAGAGAGAGAUGUCUUUGCGUGUGUGUGUGUUUUUGAUUAUGUGUGUGAGAGGGAGAGAGAGAUGUCUUUGCGUGUAGGUGUGUUUGUGAUAGUGUGUGUGUGAGAGAGAGAGAGAUGUCUUUGCGUGUAUGUGUGUUUGUGAUUAUGUGUGUGUGUGUGUGAGAGAGAGACGUCUUUGCGUGUAUGUGUGUGUGUGAUUAUGUGUGUGUGAGAGAGGGAGAGAUGUCUUUGCGUGUGUGUGUGUUUGUGAUUAUGUGUGUGUGUGUGAGAGAGAGAGAGAGAUGUCUUUGCGUGUAUGUGUGUUUAUGAUUAUGUGUGUGUGUGUGUGAGAGAGAGACGUCUUUGCGUGUAUGUGUGUGUGUGAUUAUGUGUGUGUGAGAGAGGGAGAGAUGUCUUUGCGUGUGUGUGUGUUUGUGAUUAUGUGUGUGUGAGAGAGAGAGAGAGAGAGAGACGUCUUUGCGUGGCAGGGAGAGGUUUUCUCUUUGUGUGUGUGUUUGUGUUUGUGUUUGUGUGUGAGAGAGAGAGUGUCUUUGCGUG